CCUACGGGAGGCUGCAGUGGGGAAUAUUGUGCAAUGAACGAAAGUUUGACACAGCGACACCGCGUGUGGGAUGACGGAUCUAGGUUUGUAAACCACUUUCAGGAGGGAAGAAAAUGACGGUACCUCCACAAGAAGCCCCGGCCAACUACGUGCCAGCAGCCGCGGUAAUACGUAGGGGGCGAGCGUUGUCCGGAUUUAUUGGGCGUAAAGAGCUCGUAGGCGGUUCAACAAGUCGGUCGUGAAAGUUCAGGGCUCAACCCUGAAAUGUCGAUCGAUACUGUUGUGACUAGGAUACGGUAGAGGUGAGUGGAAUUCCGAGUGUAGCGGUGAAAUGCGUAGAUAUUCGGAGGAACACCAAUUGCGAAGGCAGCUCACUGGGCCGCUAUCGACGCUGAGGAGCGAAAGCUAGGGGAGCAAACAGGAUUAGAUACCCGAGUAGUC
rnacentral:rRNA from 1 species